GGCCUGGUGGUGGAUGGUCCACAUCUGCUUCAUGUACUGCGGGGUGCAGAUUCUCAGCAGAAGGUGUCUGUUUGAUUCAGACCCAGGCCA